UCCAGUGUGGAUUCAGACAACAGAGGAGUUCAGGACUGUUCAGCUUGGGUCAAACCAUGAAGGAGCCACUGAUUUUCAACCUAAUAUCUCCUCCAAUAAGAAAAUACAUUUGAGAGGAGGAAAAGAGUUGUCUCAUUGAAUCUGUUAUGGUUGGCCAGGCCAUUUUUCAAGUUUGGGCAGAAGUUGAGCAGAGUUCACCACAACAUAACUUGUCACAUAUGUAAGGUACAAAUGCUGUGGGCUGAUGCUGCGUUCUUCAGAUGGCAUUUACCACCUAACAGUAAAGUCACUGAACAACCAGCUGACUCACAACAUUGUUUUAUUUAACAUGUUCAGAGAUGCAGUGGAAGCUGGGCAUGUCUUUCCAGGAGGGCUGAAGUUUCUGUCUCGCACACCUGCCACAAGUCUCAUCAGCUCCAGCUCUGGGCUACUCUGCAUUUGAUGCUAGAGUGUUCUAUUAUGUGCUCCAUCCUCACAAGCCAUCAGGCUCCAGCCUGCAGAUUCAUCUCUGUCCUCACUGACAACUCUCUGAGCCUGCCACCCAAGCUCCAUUCUGUACUUCAGCAGAGAAGGCCGCAGCUCUGCUAACAAGCCAGCAACCCAUCUGUGCAGCACUCACCUGAGCUCAACCUCAAGUAACCCCCCUGCUCACCAUCUUCCCUGCACUCUAUCAGCUAUUCAACAACACUAUUACCUGACCUGUUGUCUGGUUGUCUGCUUUUGGGUGCUGCUAAACAUUUACCAGCAUAGAGAUGGUAGUUACCACUUCACAGUAAAGCCACUGAAUGGUUAGCUGAUUCACAAUAUAUUAUUAAUAUAUUAUUUCAAAGUAAUCAUUUGUGUCACCUUUUGAGUCAACAUAUGUAACACAUUCAAACCAGUGUUGUUACUGUUUGCAUGUCCUCUCUGUGGAGCGCCUUUUACUUUGACAAUGGUGGUUAAAUCGCAGUUAAUGAUAUAUGAGUGCUCUAUGUUAGAAUUGGCCAUCUGUUCAGAUUAAAAACUGUAGCUCCAGUUAGCUUCAUUUAGCAUUGCAACUAGUGGUCGAUACUGGGAGCUCAGAGCACAAGAGGAGUGUUUGUGUUGACUGUGCUUGCACAGGAGCCGUGCACGAGGAUGUGCCAGUGCAACUCAAUACACAGGUGUCCUAAUAUGAAAACUGUUUUGUCUUCAUAUUCUGUCAAUAAUUCUUGUUCAUUUUUGUUUUUAGUUUUCAACUAAAAUUCUUACAUAUUGCAUCUAUUAUAAGUGAUGUUAUAGCUGCCGCCAUUUUGUACUGUCUGGCUCUCAGUUCAAGGCUCAACACUGUUAGGGCUGCUUGCUGCUGGUCAACAUUGCAAAUCGACAAAAAUUACCAAAGUUAAGCCUGAUGUGAAAAUUGAAAGCACAUUUACUUGAUUAAUUGGAAUUCUCUGAUUUUUGGGCCAACUGAGAUGAUGAGCAUGAAUCUGACUCUUACUGAUAACACCUAUCACAGUGACAGGGCCGAAUACCGGCACUGAUUCAUGAAUCCUGAUGAACUGCUGCUGGUCAAUUUAAGACAGGAUUAGAUUAAAGUUUGGUUAUUGUAGCAGCUCAAUAAUAACAAUGAUAAUGUACCUUUUAUGAGCUCAUUACUUUCUCAUCUUUCAUCUUCCAUUCUCCAUCUUUCCCUGCAUUGUAUUUCUUUCCUGAUUACUAAAGAAUUAAAAUUGAUCAUUGAAACAUGAAAAUGUUAAAUAGCAAAAGUAAAUAAAUAAAUACAUUUUAUAAAGUACAUGCCAAAUUGGGGGACAGAUCUUGUGAACGGCAGUUGACUGUUCAAAGCUGAUCCAGGCACUCAGGGGCAGCUUGCCAGCCCAUUGCCAACAUCUGCUGCAUAUCUAGCAGGCUAAAUAUCUGGCAGAGUAACAGUCAGG